rnacentral:rRNA from 1 species
UACAGAGGGUGCGAGCGUUAAUCGGAAUUACUGGGCGUAAAGCGUGCGUAGACGGCUAUCUAAGUCGGGUGUGAAAGCCCCGGGCUCAGCCUGGGAAUUGCAUUCGAGACUGAAUAGCUAGGGUACGGUAGAGGGAAGCGGAAUUUCCGGUGUAGCGGUGAAAUGCGUAGAUAUCGGAAGGAACAUCAGUGGCGAAAGCGGCUUCCUGGUCCAGCACCGACGUUCAGGCACGAAAGCGUGGGGAGCAAACAGG